ACAUGCAGUCGAACGGAAACGAUGGGAGCUUGCUCCCAGGCGUCGAGUGGCGGACGGGUGAGUAAUACUUAGGAAUCUACCCAGUAGCGGGGGACAACUCGAGGAAACUCGAGCUAAUACCGCAUACGCCCUACGGGGGAAAGCAGGGGAUCUUCGGACCUUGCACUAUUGGAUGAGCCUAAGUCGGAUUAGCUUGUUGGUGAGGUAAAGGCUCACCAAGGCGACGAUCCGUAGCUGGUCUGAGAGGACGAUCAGCCACACUGGGACUGAGACACGGCCCAGACUCCUACGGGAGGCAGCAGUGGGGAAUAUUGGACAAUGGGGGCAACCCUGAUCCAGCAAUGCCGCGUGUGUGAAGAAGGCCUGCGGGUUGUAAAGCACUUUCAGUAGAGAAGAAAAGCCUACGGUUAAUACCCGUGAGUCUUGACGUUACCUACAGAAGAAGCUCCGGCUAACUCCGUGCCAGCAGCCGCGGUAAUACGGAGGGAGCGAGCGUUAAUCGGAAUUACUGGGCGUAAAGCGCGCGUAGGCGGCUUUGUAAGUCGGAUGUGAAAGCCCUGGGCUCAACCUGGGAAUGGCAUUCGAUACUGCAGAGCUAGAGUAUGGUAGAGGGAAGUGGAA
rnacentral:rRNA from 1 species